AUGGCUGUCGUCAGCUCGUGCCGUGAGGUGUUGCCUUAAGUGGCGCAACGAGCGCAACCCCUGUCCUUAGUUGCCAGCGGAUCAUGCCGGGAACUCUAGGGAGACUGCCGGUGCCAAACCGGAGGAAGGUGGGGAUGACGUCAAGUCAGCAUGCCCCUUAUAUCCAGGGCUGCACGCAUGCUACAAUGCGCGAUACAGAGGGCUGCGAUCCCGUAAGGGGGAGCGAAUCCCAAAAAGUCGCGCUCAGUUCGGAUCGAGGUCUGCAACUCGACCCCAUGAAGUCGGAGUCGCUAGUAAUCGCAGAUCAGCAACGCUGCGGUGAAUACGUUCCCGGGCCUUGUACACACCGCCCGUCACGUCACGAAAGUCGGUAACACCCGAAGCCAGUGGCCCAACUCGCAAGAGAGGGAGCUGUCGAAGGUGGGAUCGGCGAUUGGGACGAAGUCGUAACAAGGUAGCCGUACCGGAAGGUGCGGCUGGAUCACCUCCUUUCUAAGGAGCACCUGGCACUCGGUUCCGCCGGCCAUCUGGUCGGCUCGGGUGUCCAGAGCCAGUUGAGGGCAUUCGCCCCUCGAUGGUUUGCUCAAGGGUGGAACAUUGACUAUUUGGCAGAUCUUGCAACCAACCAACGUGAGUACAGCUGCUUAGGCAGCAGGGAAGCGGCGGGUGGGAGCGAGAUCGGCCUGGCACGCUGUUGGGUCCUGAGGGAACGGGCUUUGCCCGAACACCUCCGGCCCUUCCCCCGCCCGCGCUUGUCGCGGGCGGUUUCGUGAAGGGGGACCAUCCCGCGUCGAACGACCUCGAUUGCUGAACUUGGCAGAUCCGAGGUACGCGACGACCACCGGGACCGGGACCACCCGUAUUUUGAGAACUGCACAGUGGACGCGAGCAUCAAAGUUUUGUGGACAAGUUAAUAAGGGCGCACGGUGGAUGCCUUGGCACCAGGAGCCGAUGAAGGACGUAGGAGGCUGCGAUAAGCCUCGGGGAGCUGUCAACCGAGCUGUGAUCCGAGGAUUUCCGAAUGGGGAAACCCGG
rnacentral:sRNA from 1 species